CCGGCACGGGUGAGUAACACGUAUGCAAUCCACCUGUAACAGGGGGAGUAACCCGGACGAAAUCCGGACUAAUACCCCAUAAUAUGGGCGCUCCGCAUGGAGAGCCCAUUAAAGAGAGCAAUUUUGGUUACAGACGAGCAUGCGCUCCAUUAGCCAGUUGGCGGGGUAACGGCCCACCAAAGCGACGAUGGAUAGGGGUUCUGAGAGGAAGGUCCCCCACAUUGGAACUGAGACACGGUCCAA
rnacentral:rRNA from 1 species